CUAGCUACAGGCUAACUACACUGCAAGUCGAGGGGCAGCAUAACGAAAGCUUGCUUUGUUGAUGGCGACCGGCGCACGGUGAGUAACGCGUAUCCAACCUUCCCUAUAGUAGAAGGGAUAGCCCGGCGAAAGUCGGAUUAAUACUCUAUGUUAUUCAACGAGGACAUCUGAAAUGAAUCAAAGGUUUACCGCUAUAGGAUGGGGAUGCGUCUGAUUAGGUUGUUGGCGGGGUAACGGCCCACCAAGCCCACGAUCAGUAGGGGUUCUGAGAGGAAGGUCCCCCACAUUGGAACUGAGACACGGUCCAAACUCCUACGGGAGGCAGCAGUGAGGAAUAUUGGUCAAUGGACGGAAGUCUGAACCAGCCAAGUAGCGUGCAGGAUGACGGCCCUAUGGGUUGUAAACUGCUUUUAUACAGGGAUAAAGUGAGCCACGUGUGGUUUUUUGUAGGUACUGUAUGAAUAAGGACCGGCUAAUUCCGUGCCAGCCGCCGC
rnacentral:rRNA from 1 species